UAGGAAUUCAUGAAAAUAAUAAUAACAAGGAUACCUAUAUCAACAAGGAAAAUAAAUUAACAUCACAUGCAGUAUUUUUUUUUACUGACCUGAAAAAGAAUGUAAUAAUAGCUCAUAGCCACAGGAUGUAAUUUUUUACUGAAACGUAUGGAUUCCAAAGGACCCCCCCCAAAAAAAAAGGUUUCCUGCUCACCCUGUGUCCAUUGUUCUCGACUCUUGAGGCUGGAGAAAAUGCACUAAGUGGGACCUUGUUGCUGCUCAGAACCACAUUUUGGAAGACUUUAUUUGCUGAAAAUAUUCUGCUCAGCUUGAAUUCCAUGAACUUUGAGAAUCUUUUUCUCUGGCCCAGUCUAAACCAGAGAGAAAGAUUGGCUUCACAGAAGUGGAUUCACACCAGUCUGUUAGCUCUUUGUGCCACUCCAUAUGGCCCCACUCCUCACUAUUUGCAAAAAGUUGCCACAAACUACUAGAUGUGUUCAUCCAUAUCUUCUGAAGUGCGGUGGAGUAGAGAAGCCCUUGCACAGGAACCGCAGAGUUGGGGAAUCAAUUUAUUGUCUGAAUGGGAGCUCAAAGAUGAAGUAACCUUUCAGAAGAAACAAAACACUGAAGCAGUGUCUAGAAGGUGAGCAAUUUGCCGUUAGUUUUCUAUGUGUCCCUCUGCUGUCGCUUGAGACUGUAUUUCUGUGAGGUA
ensembl:lncRNA